rnacentral:rRNA from 1 species
CGUCUAUAUACGUAUAGCAUAUCAAUAAGCGGAGGAAAAGAAACUAACAAGGAUUCCCCUAGUAACGGCGAGUGAAGCGGGAAGAGCUCAAAUUUGAAAUCUUAAAGGGUUUCCCUUUACGAAUUGUAGUUUAAAGAAGUGUUUUCUGUUGGAGUUUCGGUAAAAGUUCUUUGGAAUAGGACAUCAUAGAGGGUGAGAAUCCCGUAUUUGAUCACUUUCUACUAACGUUGUGAUACACUUUCAAAGAGUCGGAUUGUUUGGGAAUGCAGUCCAAAAUGGGUGGUAAAUUUCAUCUAAAGCUAAAUAUUGGCGAGAGACCGAUAGCGAACAAGUACCGUGAGGGAAAGAUGAAAAGAACUUUGAAAAGAGAGUUAAACAGUACGUGAAAUUGUCAAAAGGGAAGCGUUUGACACCAGUGUUGUUUUUCCGAAAAUCAAUUAAGAAUGGCUGGAUUUUAAGUUUCAUGACCUUAAAAGCUUGUUUCUUAUUUUUCUUGUCUUUCUUAAUGCACUUUUCGGUUAACAAGUCAACAUCAAUUUCCUUUGUUGUAAAAGGGUAUGAGGAAGGUGGCUUUCUUUUCGGAGAAAGUGUUUAUAGCCUUGUGCCUCUGCAAUCGGAGAGAUUGAGGUCUGCAGCGUAGAUCCUUCGGGGUUAGAUACAUUUGUGCUAAGUUAUAGCUUUUCAUAGACAACUUGUUGACUAUGUUAAGUCUUGUAGCUUACUCGCUUAUGCUAUUUUACCUACGCUUAGGAUGUUGACACACGCGCGUGCUCG